GCCGUGGCCUACUGGUUAGCGCUUCGGACUUGAAACCGGAGGGUUGCCGGUUCGAACCCCGACCAGUAGGCA
rnacentral:tRNA from 1 species